AUUCAUCUUGCUGAGGUACCAGCCACCAGCAACAGCACUUUCUGUGCUGACACCAUGGAAGCUCCUGCUAGAGGUUCGAAUAGUGGUUUAGUCAGAGCCUGUAAGACCAGAGGUAGGUCACAUAUGGACUUCAACACCCUCAGUGCAGGCUUGAAUUUAAUUGCUUCUUACAUGAAGCAAAGCACCAGGGGUUCCAAUGCUCAAUGGGUACCCAUCCAUGUGUAAAGUGCCAAUCUGUGCUCCUCUAGAGUGUUAUAAUUCAGACCAUAUCAAGGCCUGAUUGAGAAGUAAUUCCAACCUCUAUUCUUGAGACCAACAGACAAAU